rnacentral:rRNA from 1 species
UUGAACGCUGGCGGCAUGCCUUACACAUGCAAGUCGAACGGCAGCACGGGGGCGACCCUGGUGGCGAGUGGCGAACGGGUGAGUAACGCAUCGGAACGUACCCGGAAGUGGGGGAUAACGUAGCGAAAGUUACGCUAAUACCGCAUAUUCUGUGAGCAGGAAAGAGGGGGAUCGCAAGACCUCUCGCUUCCGGAGCGGCCGAUGUCGGAUUAGCUAGUUGGCGGGGUAAAGGCCCACCAAGGCGACGAUCCGUAGCGGGUCUGAGAGGAUGAUCCGCCACACUGGGACUGAGACACGGCCCAGACUCCUACGGGAGGCAGCAGUGGGGAAUUUUGGACAAUGGGCGCAAGCCUGAUCCAGCCAUGCCGCGUGAGUGAAGAAGGCCUUCGGGUUGUAAAG